CGUGAGGAACCUGCCUUGGAGAGGGGAAUAACACAGCGAAAAUUGUGCUAAUACCGCAUGAUGCAGUUGGGUCGCAUGGCUCUGACUGCCAAAGAUUUAUCGCUCUGAGAUGGCCUCGCGUCUGAUUAGCUAGUUGGUGGGGCAACGGCCCACCAAAGCGACGAUCAGUAGCCGGACUGAGAGGUUGACCGGCCACAUUGGGACUGAGACACGGCCCAGACUCCUACGGGAGGCAGCAG
rnacentral:rRNA from 1 species